GAAGGCAAAAUCCAAUGUUUAUAAAAUUAUCCAAUUCUACCAUUGAGAUAGAUUCUUUGGGCUGUAUAGCGCAUAUAUUAACUAGCCUAGGAAUGGUAGCAAACAUGGCAUGAGACUAUUGACUAUUGAGUGAGCAUCGCUGACACACGCCCCUUCCUUUGUUCCUAUUAGGACAACAUUAGACUGAGGAAAUUGUGCUUUCAUAUUCUUGAGCCCUUUAAGCAUACUAUAGUGAUGUCAUUGGGCACCCUGAGUGACUUCCAUGAGCACAUAGGCAGCUCCAGGCUUUCUUGAAAAUCUCUUCUCCCUCUGCCUUCUGGAGUGUCACCCACCUUCCCUGAGCUCAGGACAGCUAGAAUAAAUAUGCCCACGUUUCCUCUCCUCGGCUGAAAUUCUGCCUGGGAGAGUUUUGACCCGGAUCUCUCAUUUCCAUGGGACAGGUGUAAGGCAGCCCUGGACUCCAUGUGAAACCUGAAGUCGAGACCCUGCACUGUUCUCUUCCCUGGGACCCAUUGCCAUUUAAAAUCCUCUACUCUGCUAGUGGCUACUAGAAGCUUGCCAUUUUUCCUUAGAGGAACAAUAACCCAUUGUUUCACCUAGAUACUGGGUUUCUAAUCUGCCCACACUCACUAGCCCACUUAGCAAUUUACUCCUUCAGACUGCCUUGUAGUCUGGCCAAACCAGCCCCAUACCAUAGGGAAACUACAGGUUGCCGCAUGUCAUGGGCUCUAGCCAUACACAAAAAUCACACAUUUUUAAGUCCAUUGCCAUCAAACAUCUACAGGAACAGGCAGCCUUUUCUAUAUUUCUCUUUCUCAAUUAAAUGUUACAUCUAGGCUUGGUAGGGCGCGAGACCCUGAAAGAGUUUAAGAAAAGUAUAACAGGGGUACUGUGUAAGCGUAAGAGAUCUCUGCCAGUAGGGUCUGUUGUGUAUUACUCUCCUGCCAACGCUGUUCCUGCUGCCCUUGUUAGAUAUUUGUCUGAGACAUUGAGAAACCACUGCAGGACUGGUCAAUGGGGGGAGGUCUCAUGAGUUGAAAAGAGAUGGAUGUGAAUUCAGGCAUCAAGUGACCAGUCAGUGAUCCUAGUCUGGGUCCUGGACCUGCUUGGACUCUUCUGAACCUUCAGACUGAGGGAGAUCUUACCCAACUCUGCUUCCUCUCUGUUCUCUUCUGAAAGAACGAAUGGUUAUGUCUUGCAGGUCGUAGUCUGUGCAUCGGGUUACCAGGAGUAGGUUGCACAGCUGGUUUAACACUGUUUUUCUGUAAAGGGCUAUGGGAUCUCAUGCAGAUUUUUGCAAAGUCAUAUGCAAAUCACAGAGCCCAGCCCUUUUCUUAACAGGAUGGCAACCUUGUUCCUCGUUGGCACCUGGGACCUGGAGAUCCUUUCUCCACUUACGUUUAGCGCGCAGCCUGGGACAUGUCCCUGCAGCUCACCGGGUUAGCCGUGGCACCGUUGGGACCUCCCACCAGGACUCCAAUCACCCAACUCUAUUGAGACUGCUCUGACAGGGCUGGUAUGGGGUGCAGCCUUUGCUCAGAGGGCAACAUGUUCCAAGCAAAAUCUGCCCGCCUGGGCCAUGGGCUCACCCCGGGCCUCCCUGCUUCUCUCCUGGGUGCAAUUUUGAGGUUUCUGAGCUUCGAUCCAAAGUCCAAAAUGGUGGGGCAACAGGGAUUUACCAAGAGGCCCCAGGGCCCCAUGUACUUCCCCAGCUCCCAACCUGACAUACCAGGGAUUCUACCCGACCCCCACUCCCGCAUCAGGCCCUCACUGCCCAAAAAGUCUGCAACUCAAGUAGACAGGGUAGAUAAGGGGCACAUUUGGUUUUAGUUUCCCUUCAGGUUAAACAUUCCUGUGAGCAGUGACCCCCACCCCCACCCCCAGUCUGGACAAGGCCAUCCCGAUGCUGUAGCUCCUCUCCUCUACAUCAUGAGAAUGUGUGGGGGUGGGCCUGAGAUACAGAUGGGGAGGGUCAAAUCCAGCCUUUCCCCAAUACUGGCAGCAGCCGCCUCCUUCAACACAGUUCUGUUUGAUGCAGCCUCCUCACCACCCCUUUCUGAGGUCUCUGGGGCAAAGACCACCAUUCUAGUCCUAUUCACUUCCAGCAAUCCUGUUGGGUGGGGUGGGGAAUGCACGAAGACCUAAUUGAAGCCAACUGGCCACGUGUUGACGGUUAUUGGCACUAGAUGGUACUUGGGUGUUCAGUAUACUUUUCUCACUUUUGUAUAUGUUUCCAAUUUUUCAUAAUAAAUUUUUUUAAAGUCCUCCAGCUUCCAUAACAUUCGAGAAAGAACCCUAACCCCUAAGAAAGUUUCAUGGGACCCCCACCCUCACCCCCACCCCCACCCCUACACCAAGGCAAGAGGCAGGGAUGACUCCAUUUCAUAUAAAUAGAUAUAAAUAUAAUAUAAAUAUAUAUAUGUAAAACACUCAUUUUCUAACCUUUUUUUAAGGCCCACUGCUUUAUUUUCAAUAAACUAAACCUAAUUUCUAAGAGGUCCCGAAGUUGGGCUCACUUCCCAGGCUGGGUGAUGGGGAGGGCAGGGAAGAGGAUCCUUAAAAGUUUACACUUCCAUGUGUCUCACACGCUUACUGUGAGAAAGUGGCUUGUUCAGUGUUCUGAACUUUGCGAAGGGUAUAUGUUCGCAAUGCACAGUGUCAUUCUCUGGAUGUGCACCUGGCUCAGGAAAGGACUGUCUUUGUACUUGAACUUAAAUCCAAUGGAGAACCUUAACACGGGCAUUUGCAUGACUGAGAUUUGCUGCUGUCUUUUUUCCAUAUGUCUCUUUCUUGGAUGUGUUCUAAUAAAAUGAUUCUAAAGC
rnacentral:lncRNA from 1 species